UGAGGUUAAGUUAACAAGGGCGCAUGGUGAAUGCCUUGGCACUAGGAGCCGAUGAAGGACGGGACUAACACCGAUAUGCUUCGGGGAGCUGUACGUAAGCUAUGAUCCGGAGAUUUCCGAAUGGGGCAACCCAGCAGUUUUAAUCAACUGUUACCACUAGAUGAAUUCAUAGUCUAGUUGGAGGUAAACGCUGUGAACUGAAACAUCUCAUUAGCAGCAGGAAUAUAAAGAAAUUUCGAUUCCCUAAGUAGCGGCGAGCGAACGGGGAACAGCCCAAACCAAAGUGCUUGCACUUUGGGGUUGUAGGACUGAACAUUUGAGUUACCAAAGAACUUGAUAGUCGAAGGAUUUGGGAAAAUCCGCCAUAGAUGGUGAUAGCCCAGUAGAUUAAAUCAAAUUCUCUCAGUUCAGGAUCCUGAGUACGGCGGAACACGUGAAAUUCCGUCGGAAUCCGGGAGGACCAUCUCCCAAGGCUAAAUACUACCUAGUGACCGAUAGUGAACCAGUACCGUGAGGGAAAGGUGAAAAGCACCCCGGGAGGGGAGUGAAAUAGUUCCUGAAACCAUGUGCCUACAAUAAGUCAGAGCGCGUUAAUGCGUGAUGGCGUGCCUUUUGUAGAAUGAACCGGCGAGUUAUGAUCCCGUGCAAGGUUAAGACUAAAAAGUCGGAGCCGUAGCGAAAGCGAGUCUGAAAUGGGCGCUUUGAGUACGAGGUUAUAGACCCGAAACCAGGUGACCUAUCCAUGUCCAGGUUGAAGGUGCGGUAAAACGCACUGGAGGACCGAACCCGUGUAAGUUGAAAAUUGCUGGGAUGAGGUGUGGAUAGCGGUGAAAUUCCAAACGAACUUGGAGAUAGCUGGUUCUCUCCGAAAUAGCUUUAGGGCUAGCCUCGGAAUUAGGAUCAUGGAGGUAGAGCACUAUUUGGACUAGGGGCCCGUCUUGGGUUACUGAAUUCAGAUAAACUCCGAAUGCCAUUGAUUCAUAUCCGGGAGUCAGACGAUGAGUGAUAAGAUCCACCGUCGAAAGGGGAACAGCCCAGACCAUCAGUUAAGGUCCCUAAAUGUAUGCUAAGUGGAAAAGGAUGUGGAGUUGCAUAGACAACU
rnacentral:rRNA from 1 species